UAUAUGGAAAUGCGUCAUCGUCCUCCCUGUCCGACGCGCGAUACGGUGGGGACGGUGUAGAUGGAAUGGGGUGAGAGUCCCCGCGCGGCCGGCACUGUAAGCGUGAACCCAUGCUGAAGCGUCUCUUCGGGACGCCAUGACGAACGUCAGUCACUGCGGCAUCAGGCCGUGGGAAGGCAGGCAUCGGGCGCUGGGGGCUCUCCCCCUGAAUCGCAAGUCAGGAGACUUACGCAUUUUCUCUGGAGGAC
rnacentral:ncRNA from 2 species